rnacentral:tRNA from 1 species
GCCUUGUUGGUGUAAUGGAUAUCAUAUCGGUCUACGAAACCGAUGAUCUGGGUUCGAUUCCCAGACAAGGCA